rnacentral:snRNA from 1 species
AUACUUACCUGGCAGGGGAGAUCCCAUGAUCACGAAGGUGGAUUUCCCAGGGCGAGGCUCACCCACUGCACUCCGGGUGUGCUGACCCCUGCGAUUUCCCCAGAUGUGGGAAACGAUUGCAUAAUCUGUGGUAGUGGGGGACUGCGUUCACACUCUCCCCUG